UACGGGGGGGGCAAGCGUUGUUCGGAAUUACUGGGCGUAAAGGGCUCGUAGGCGGCCAACUAAGUCAGACGUGAAAUCCCUCGGCUUAACCGGGGAACUGCAUCUGAUACUGGAUGGCUUGAGUUCGGGAGAGGGAUGCGGAAUUCCAGGUGUAGCGGUGAAAUGCGUAGAUAUCUGGAGGAACACCGGUGGCGAAGGCGGCAUCCUGGACCGACACUGACGCUGAGGAGCGAAAGCAUGGGGAGCGAACAGG
rnacentral:rRNA from 1 species